rnacentral:rRNA from 1 species
AUUGAACGCUGGCGGCAGGCCUAACACAUGCAAGUCGAACGGUAACAGGUUAAGCUGACGAGUGGCGAACGGGUGAGUAAUACAUCGGAACGUGCCCAGACGUGGGGGAUAGCUCGGCGAAAGCCGGAUUAAUACCGCAUAAGCUCUGAGGAGGAAAGCGGGGGACCGUAAGGCCUCGCGCGCUUGGAGCGGCCGAUGGCAGAGUAGGUAGUUUGUGGGGGAAAGGCUUACCAAGCCUACGAUCUGUAGCUGGUCUGAGAGGACGACAAGCCACACUGGGACUGAGACACGGCCCAGACUCCUACGGGAGGCAGCAGUGGGGAAUUUUGGACAAUGGGCGCAAGCCUGAUCCAGCAAUGCCGCGUGCAGGAUGAAGGCCUUCGGGUUGUAAACUGCUUUUGUACGGAACGAAAAGGCGCCUACUAAUACUGGGUGUUGAUGACGGUACCGUAAGAAUAAGCACCGGCUAACUACGUGCCAGCAGCCGCCGUAAAAC